GGACGUGGUCUGCGAGUGAAGGGGAGAAGCCCAGCACCGAAGCCCCCGCUUUCAUGGCGGGGUGCAAUGUGGUGUACGGGAAGGUCCGUUCUGGAGGAGAGCUCGGCGUCCAAGUCCCCCUGACCGGGGCCAUGGCCCGUGGAGGGUGCAAGGCCUGUAUGGCCUAGCUAUCCUAUUUCCUCCGGUCGGAUCUCUUCCCAGGAGUCGGGUUGCUUGAAAGUGCAACCCUAAGUGGGUGGUAAACUCCAUCUAAGGCUAAAUAUUUUCCACGAGACCGAUAGCAAACAAGUACCGUGAGGGAAAGUUGCAAAGAACUUUGAAGAGAGAGUUCAAGAGUGCGUGAAACCGUCCAGAGGUAAACGGGUGGGGCCUCGAAGGUCGAAAGGUUGGGGAGGGAUUCAACCUGUUGCCCCGGUGCCUGGCGAGCAUUUUCGGUAUUCCAGCUCCGUCUGGUAGCCGUGCGAGCCUAGCGCGCCGGAUCAGGCGACGGGUGCAUUUCCCUACAUGAGCCCCCCUUCCUAGUAGGACACCGCAACCGGUCGGAAGUUGAACGCGGGAGAUGAGAAUCUAGGCCGAAUUGGUAGCUGCACGGACGAUUGGAGGGCUUUGCGGCCCACCACGUCCGCUUGUCUGGCCGGUGCCACAUGGAGAAAUCUCUCACUCCGACCGAGGCUAUGUGAGUGCGUGCUGGUCUUCGGGCCGCGCGUCCACUAUCGCGCCCCGCACUCUAGCAGUGCUCGGGUGGACAGAGUCCAACCGAGUGGCGCUGGCCGGAAAGGCGUUGGGCCCUCUGGGUCCACGUCCCACCGGAUUUCAGCGUCGCUGGCAGUGAAGGCGCAGGCUCCCGACGGGGCGACGGGGGUUAGCGGUGAGUAGGUCGGCAUCCCACCCGACCCGUCUUGAAACACGGACCAAGGAGUCUAACAUGUAUGCGAGUCUUUGGGCUUUAAACCCCGUUAAGGCGCAAUUAAAGUAAAGGCGGCCUCUGGUUGCCUAGGCGGGAUCCCGGCGACUCUGUUUCGUCGGGCGCACCGCCGGCCCGUCCAACGACCGCUUUGCCGGCCGGGCGAGCUAGAGC
rnacentral:rRNA from 1 species